UGUUUGACUGGACACUCGUACCUUCUGGGCCGCAAGAGGAGGCCUGACUCCGGCCACGGCGUGUUGGUCCUGAGAUGACGCAUCUUGCUGCACGUGCGCACGGACACAGUCGCAGCUGCAAAGCAGCGACGCAUAAAUGAGUUUGAGCCAGCAAACAUAAAGUUCCCCGAGCCUUUUACAUCACAGAGAUACUGUACCCGGGAGCCCCCCCGUCUGUCCCAUCAGAGGAUGGGAGCUGAGGGCAGAUGGGAACAGAGGGGCUCCGCUCUGCCCCUCUCAUGUCUGCUUUCUCUCUCUUGCGUUUCUCGCCGCACUUUUUCAUUCCUCACGGCGUGUUUGCUUUACAGCCGUUUAGUUCUUAACCUUCAGAAAUUUAUACGCUAUAAACUUUUAUUGCCGUCAUAUUCUUUUAUUGCACCGCGCUGCACUGAAUCCCCCCCUCCUCUCCUCUUCCUCUCCGGCUUCCUCUUCGGUUGUUUUUACGACAGUCGGCUGUGGAUACUUCCAACGCGUCCUCAUCGCUCAUCACGUCCCGCUCCCUCUGCAUGUUUUUGAGACGCCCUGCCCCGAUGCGCGCGGCACAUCCUGCUCCUCUCGUGCUGCGUGUUUCCGUGCGUGGAACCGGUCGAGGAAGUGUGCAAAACAGCUGACGCGAGGAAGAAGAAAAAGGAGCAGGGAAGGCUGUCAGAGCUCGGGUUAUAAGCCUAAAGGGACAAAUAAUGUUGUGUUUUCAACUUUUCUUCCUAUCUUUUUUUUUGAAAAGCAUAGAAGUAAAGAAAUUCAAAAAAGUCUGUCGGCCUGUUCUGAAUGCGCCGUUUCCGGCAGAAACCUCCAUGUGCACGAGAGACCUUAACCGGGAGAUCCAGCAACGCAGCUCUGACGAGUUCUUCCUCACAGCUACAGGCCUUCGUGGUUUCUUCAUGGAUGACUUUGGCUGCAGUUGGAGCGGCAGCGACGCGCACGCGCAGCAGAUAGUCUGCUUGACAUCUCUCGACACACGUGCACAACAGCCUUCGGAUCACAUUCCAGCUAUUAAUAAGUGCGGAGCGGAUGUGAAGUGAUCAGAGCAGCGGCUCUGCUCUCAUGUGCGGGACUGACUCCCGCAGAGGAAUACGGAUGAGGCCGAUCAUGAUCAAAGCCGAGUUCCAUGCACGACAUGUCACGCUGCCUGCGCGCCCACGUCUUCCUUCAAGCAUAGAUGCCCAAGUGGGCUGCUUUAGCGUGAUUAUCUGCUUUUCGCAGCACGUGGGCGUCCAGUGCGCGCGCUUUAUGUACUGAUACUGUAACGUGACCGGCGGGGUUUCGCUCCAGCGGCAGUAUCCCGCCGGAUCCCACAGCCGCCGAGGCCGCGUAGUGGGGACAACUCCAGCGGUCACCCGUUCCCACGUAAGUCCCGGCCAACGCCGGAAAGGACGUUUUUGGGUACAUACCAGGCUCACAAACUUGCCAUUUACAAGAAAGCUUUUUGAUGACGUCAUCAUGUGAUGUUCAAAAGAGAGAAUACAACCCCCAUUGAUAAAAAUAUCCCAAGUUGGAUUAAUUUUUUAACCCAACUUCAAGGUUUGAAAGAGACUGACCUUUUCUCUGGUUUACUUCAACCCAGGAAAUAAAAGGGUUUUACCACCAUAACCAUAAAAAUUAGGAAUGUUCAAGAAAAUAAUCCAAAAUACAUAAACCCAAGGUUGGGUGUAGGAAAUAAUGAAUGUGUUUUAAGAGUGACAUAUGUAUACUUUUUAUUUGUAGAUGCUUUUUAUGACAGAUCCUUUCUAAACAAAUCAUUUAAACAUAACGUGAAUACAGUUUAUGAAGUGCACUUUUAUUGUAAGGGCUGAAUUCCAGUUUUAAGAACAUGUUGACACUUUUGGAUUUUUUGUGACCAAUGCAUUUAAUGAAGUCCACCUUUUUUGUAUUCUUUUCUCUCUAUAUUUAUAGGCUAUUACAUGUUCUAUAGUUUGUUUCUUCAAAUUAUGAUCACAGAUUUGAUUAAUUCUAACAACAUGUCAACGAAACCAUCCUGCAUUUGUUCUUUCAGUCAUUUUUUUUACUUAACAAACAGCUUUUAAAAUAGGAUUGUCCUAAAAUAAACGUUAAUAAAAAACUA